rnacentral:lncRNA from 1 species
GGGGAUACAGCCUGCUCCUUCCGCAGGUGAAGCCUCCUGUGAGGAUACCAACGUUACCUCAGGUGCAUAUGCUCUUCAGAAGAUUCUGGAGACUGUGCUUCUGAGGCGUGAAGUGGUAAACGGAGAAGACAAGGAAACCCAGACAGAGGAGCCACCGCCCCAGGCUGGGGUAUCUCAGGAGAGCCGUCAUCUGGGUUUCAAGAUCGAACCUGGACGUUUCCAAGCAGAAGGGUGCAGGGCUGGAGGGGUGGUCUCUACAUGGAGAAGACAGACAUCAGUGUGGUCUCUACAUGGAGAAGACAGACUUCAGUGACUUAGUGUGUCUGAGCGUUGUGGGGAAGUGUCAGGAGACGCUGGAAAGCAUUUGGAAAAACGUGGCAUACAUCCCUAGAUCACUGAGCAAUGGCAUGAGACAGGUGUCAUUCCAGAAACUAUUCAGAGUUGAACAAGAAAGGAAAUGCAAUCACAGCUUGCCACUCACACCAGCAGAGAACAGAGGAGGCCAAAAUAAAAAAGACUAUAUAAACAAAAAUCAUAAUAUCUAAGUUGGGGGGCUGUGGGGAGUUGAACUGGGGUAAUGAGAGCAGGCAACUCCUCAGGCGCCCUAACGGAAGUUGAUGAAAUGACCGGAAAUGAACAAAUCAAGAAAUAAGAGCGCGUGCACGUUAUUUAGAAACAGGCGCAGAAAUUCUACAAGAAUUAGGUAGGAGUGCAAAGUUGUAGCUUGGAGGGUGGGUGGAUGCAGGUAAGGAGAGGUGGAGCAGGGCAUCGUCCUUUGGAUGGAACUGUACGUGAGCUGAGCUUUUGUUUGACUGAAUACUUUUUUUCAAGGACAAGGAGGUUCUGCACCAGCUGAGCUUUCUGGUGCGCCAUGAAAUUGCACCAGAAUUUGUCUUUAUGGCAUGUUUCUCCUCAUACGAGAUCAAGAAGAACCCGUCUGGAUCCGAAAAUACACACAGAGACGACGAGGACACACAAGGGGACCUCUUUUCUUCCCGACGCUUUCGUCAACUCAAGAAAACUUGUUCGUCAAGGCAGCCGUUGCUCUACUGACUUGCAUCAUGCCUGCCCCCAGCCACAUUUUUCAGAGACAGCGUCUCGCAUCUGGGAUUUCACAAGCGACAGUGGGGGAGGUGGGUGGGAGCCGAGCGCGGUCCUUGCUCCUGCAUUCUCGGGAUGGAAUGAGACAGAGCCUGUUUGGCGCGGAAGACAGAGCUCUGGGUAUGUCUGUGCCCAUUUCGGUGGGGAAGUGGGGAAUGUCGGGGGGCUGCUCCUUGCCAGACUCGGGGGCAGAGGCGCAUCCACAGAGCGACGGCACGAGGCCAGGCUGGUCUCCUUCCCCCUCCUCCAGGAGCAUGGGACACAGGUGUCUCCUUCUGGGCAGAAGAAGUCACUGAAACUUGCCUUCUUACUCAGCACUGUUUUUUUCUCCUGGAGCGUCAAAAUCAUUGCUUAA